GACGUAGGGCGCGAGCGUUGUCCGGAUUUAUUGGGCGUAAAGAGCUCGUAGGCGGCUUGUCGCGUCGACUGUGAAAACCCGCGGCUCAACUGCGGGCCUGCAGUCGAUACGGGCAGGCUAGAGUUCGGUAGGGGAGACUGGAAUUCCUGGUGUAGCGGUGAAAUGCGCAGAUAUCAGGAGGAACACCAAUGGCGAAGGCAGAUCUCUGGGCCGUAACUGACGCUGAGGAGCGAAAGCAUGGGGAGCGAACAGG
rnacentral:rRNA from 1 species